UACGUAGGGUGCGAGCGUUGUCCGGAAUUAUUGGGCCUAAAGCAUCCGUAGCCGGUUCUACAAGUCUUCCGUUAAAUCCAGCUGCUUAACAGAUGGGCUGCGGAAGAUACUAUGGAGCUAGGAGGCGGGAGAGGCAAGCGGUACUCGAUGGGUAGGGGUAAAAUCCGUUGAUCCAUUGAAGACCACCAGUGGCGAAGGCGGCUUGCCAGAACGCGCUCGACGGUGAGGGAUGAAAGCUGGGGGAGCAAACAGG
rnacentral:rRNA from 1 species